AAAAGUUUAGUUAAUUUAUAACAUUAAUUUGUCAAAUUAAAAUAAUCGCGAGAUAACUUUUA
rnacentral:tRNA from 1 species